CCCUUAGAUGUUCUGGGCCGCACGCGCGCUACACUGAAGGGAUCAGCGUGUUUUCCCUUCCCGAGAGGGACGGGUAACCCGCUGAACCCCCUUCGUGGUAGGGAUCGGAGCUUGCAAUUGUUCUCCGUGAACCAGGAAUUCCCAGUAAGCGCAAGUCAUAAGCUUGCGUGGAUUACGUCCCUGCCCUUUGUACACACCGCCCGUCGCUACUACCGAUUGAACGUUUUAGUGAGGUAUUUGGACUGGGCCUUGGGAGGUUUCGGCCUCCCUUGUUGCUCGGAAAGACUCCCAAACUUGAGCGUUUAGAGGAAGUAAAAGUCGUAACA
rnacentral:rRNA from 1 species